rnacentral:rRNA from 1 species
AUCUGCCUAUUAGUGGGGGACAACAUUUCGAAAGGAAUGCUAAUACCGCAUACGUCCUACGGGAGAAAGCAGGGGAUCUUCGGACCUUGCGCUAAUAGAUGAGCCUAAGUCGGAUUAGCUAGUUGGUGGGGUAAAGGCCUACCAAGGCGACGAUCUGUAGCGGGUCUGAGAGGAUGAUCCGCCACACUGGGACUGAGACACGGCCCAGACUCCUACGGGAGGCAGCAGUGGGGAAUAUUGGACAAUGGGCGCAAGCCUGAUCCAGCCAUGCCGCGUGGGUGAAGAAGGCCUUAUGGUUGUAAAGCACUUUAAGCGAGGAGGAGGCUACUUUAGUUAAUACCCUAGAGAUAGUGGACGUUACUCGCAGAAUAAGCACCGGCUAACUCUGUGCCAGCAGCCGCGGUAAUACAGAGGGUGCAAGCGUUAAUCGGAUUUACUGGGCGUAAAGCGCGCGUAGGCGGCUAAUUAAGUCAAAUGUGAAAUCCCCGAGCUUAACUUGGGAAUUGCAUUCGAUACUGGUUAGCUAGAGUGUGGGAGAGGAUGGUAGAAUUCCAGGUGUAGCGGUGAAAUGCGUAGAGAUCUGGAGGAAUACCGAUGGCGAAGGCAGCCAUCUGGCCUAACACUGACGCUGAGGUGCGAAAGCAUGGGGAGCAAACAGGAUUAGAUACCCUGGUAGUCCAUGCCGUAAACGAUGUCUACUAGCCGUUGGGGCCUUUGAGGCUUUAGUGGCGCAGCUAACGCGAUAAGUAGACCGCCUGGGGAGUACGGUCGCAAGACUAAAACUCAAAUGAAUUGACGGGGGCCCGCACAAGCGGUGGAGCAUGUGGUUUAAUUCGAUGCAACGCGAAGAACCUUACCUGGCCUUGACAUAGUAAGAACUUUCCAGAGAUGGAUUGGUGCCUUCGGGAACUUACAUACAGGUGCUGCAUGGCUCGUCGUCAGCUCGUGUCGUGAGAUGUUGGGUUAAGUCCCGCAACGAGCGCAACCCUUUUCCUUAUUUGCCAGCGAGUAAUGUCGGGAACUUUAAGGAUACUGCCAGUGACAAACUGGAGGAAGGCGGGGACGACGUCAAGUCAUCAUGGCCCUUACGGCCAGGGCUACACACGUGCUACAAUGGUCGGUACAAAGGGUUGCUACCUAGCGAUAGGAUGCUAAUCUCAAAAAGCCGAUCGUAGUCCGGAUUGGAGUCUGCAACUCGACUCCAUGAAGUCGGAAUCGCUAGUAAUCGCGGAUCAGAAUGCCGCGGUGAAUACGUUCCCGGGCCUUGUACACAC